ACGCCCUUCUCCCUUAAAUUAAGUAGAGUGGUAUCUGUGGUCUGCAACUGAAUCAUGACAGAUACUGUCACAUUUGGGAACCAUUUUAAGAAGUUCUUCCACAUUAUACUUCUCCAACUUCAUUUUAAUAUCACUUCUAACUCCCUAAUCAUCUAGCCAAACCAUUAACCUCAGACUCUUUUUUUUUUUUUUUUUUUUUGAGAUGGAGUCUCGCUCUGUCACCCAGGCCGGAGUGCAGUGGCGCGAUCUCAGCUCCCUGCAAGCUCUGCCUCCCAGGUUCACGCAGCUGGAACUACAGGACAUGCCAUAGAUGAUAAAGUACCUCAGUCUGCCACAAACACUUUGAACAUUAUAAGGAUCGCAAGGACUAAGUUGCACUGCAGACUGGACCAGCUGGAGAACCUUUUCUUCCUCUGAAUCUCACUCAAGUAUGGCUUCAUUUCAAGUGACCAGAUAAGGAGGUCAGAGCAGUAACCCAAAUAUGAUCAAUGUUGUCUCUAAAUUCACCUAAGUGAUGUGACUCUUUUGGUUUAGGGGUAGGUAGCACAAGUAAAGCAACUUGUCCUUCAUUUUGAAGGGAGCACCUGUAUGCAAGAUCACUAAACAUCAAGAAAUAUCAGUGAAGUGAAAAGCCUUUGUACUUGAACCUCCCUACCUUCCGGUAUACAUAUAUUUCCUAAAGCGUGUAAGAUACUUGCUAUUUUUUACUCCAUAUGCCCUAUUAGUUUGAUGUCAUGAGUUCAGUGGGCCAGCAUAUCUUGUGAGAUGGUAAGAUGGGUCAGGAUCCCUAUGUGCUAACUUGUAGCAGAGUCAGAAAGUUCAUGUAACCAUGAGACAGUGUAGAUUGAUGUGUGUUAUAUCUGUUGUUUUCUGCUAUUAAGCCAAAGAAAAAUACUUCACUGGAUUAAUGUCUUCCUUUUCAAUUGCAUUUAUUUGUUUAUUUAUUUAUUUUACCUUCUUGCCUUCAUCAAUGUCUUGUUUGUAUUUCGUACUUUUCUCUCUCUCUCUCUCUUUCUCUUUCUUUUCAUUUUUUAAGAGAUAGGGGCCGGGUGCAGUUGCUCAUACCUGUAAUCCCAGCACUUUGGGAGGCCGAGGCAGGUGGAUC
rnacentral:lncRNA from 1 species